rnacentral:rRNA from 1 species
CCUACGGGAGGCAGCAGUCGAGAAUCAUUCACAAUGGGGGAAACCCUGAUGGUGCGACGCCGCGUGAGGGAAUGAAGGUCUUCGGAUUGUAAACCCCUGUCAUGUGGGAGCAAAUUAGAAAGAUAGUACCGAAAGAGGAAGAGACGGCUAACUCUGUGCCAGCAGCCGCGGUAAUACAGAGGUAUCAAGCGUUGUUCGGAAUCACUGGGCGUAAAGCGUGCGUAGGCGGUUUCGUAAGUCGUGUGUGAAAGGCGCGGGCUCAACCGGCGGACGGCACAUGAUACUGCGAGACUAGAGUAACGGAGGGGGCAUCGGAAUUCCCGGUGUAGCAGUGAAAUGCGUAGAUAUAGAGAGGAACACUCGUGGCGAAGGCGGGUGCCUGGACAUUAACUGACGCUGAGGCACGAAGGCCAGGGGAGCGAAAGGGAUUAGAUACCCGAGUAGUC